rnacentral:lncRNA from 1 species
AAACUUUCUGCCUCGGGCUGAUGGGUGGUAAACUGUGUGAUCCAGCUCUUUGCUUCUGUUCAAUAACUUUCUGAGAACUUUCUAUAGCAGCGAACGGUGAUGCUAUGCCUAGGCCAUGUGAGUUGGAACACGGUUUCUCAGAAACCAAAUUAAGCAGCCUCCCUUUGACUCCAGAAUAGAGAAAAUUUGCCCCCCAUCUGUGUAAGAGUGGAAGUUUCAUCAUUGUGGAGGACGUCUAACAACACACAGCAAUUCUUUUAGGAUCAGAGGGAAUGUCUACAUUUCUUCACUGUGGGAAUUUAUUUACAUGUA